GAAGGGAUAUCUCAGUGGUAGAGCAUUCGACUGCAGAUCGAGUGUUUCCCGGUUCAAACCCGGGAGUCUUCUCA
rnacentral:tRNA from 1 species